UGGCGACCGGCGCACGGGUGCGUAACGCGUAUGCAACCUACCCAUAACAGGGGGAGUAACACUGAGAAAUUGGUACUAAUACCCCAUAACAUCAGGACCGGCAUCGGUUCUGGUUGAAAACUCCGGUGGUUAUGGAUGGGCAUGCGUUGUAUUAGCUGGUUGGUGAGGUAACGGCUCACCAAGGCAACGAUACAUAGGGGGACUGAGAGGUUAACCCCCCACAUUGGUACUGAGACACGGUCCAA
rnacentral:rRNA from 1 species